GGGCCCGCACAAGCGGUGGAGUAUGUGGUUUAAUUCGAUGCAACGCGAAGAACCUUACCAGGGUUUGACAUCCUGCGAAUCUCUUGGAAACUUGAGAGUGCCUUCGGGAGCGCAGUGACAGGUGGUGCAUGGCUGUCGUCAGCUCGUGUCGUGAGAUGUUGGGUUAAGUCCCGCAACGAGCGCAACCCACGUCUUUAGUUGCCAGCAUUUAGUUGGGCACUCUAGAGAGACUGCCGGUGAUAAACCGGAGGAAGGUGUGGAUGAUGUCAAGUCAGCAUCGCCCCUUACAUCCUGGGCUACACACGUACUACAAUGGUAGGGACAAUGAGCUGCGAUCCUGCGAAGGCUAGCCAAUCUACAAAACCCUAUCUCAGUUCGGAUUGUACUCUGCAACUCGAGUACAUGAAGGUGGAAUCGCUAGUAAUCGC
rnacentral:rRNA from 1 species